rnacentral:rRNA from 1 species
CCUACGGGAGGCAGCAGUGGGGAAUAUUGGACAAUGGGCGCAAGCCUGAUCCAGCCAUGCCGCGUGUGUGAAGAAGGUCUUCAGAUUGUAAAGCACUUUAAGUUGGGAGGAAGGGCAGUAAGCGAAUACCUUGCUGUUUUGACGUUACCGACAGAAUAAGCACCGGCUAACUCUGUGCCAGCAGCCGCGGUA